UCAAGAGAUUUUGUCUCAGAAACCAACACAAAAACUAAAGGACCAGAAAGAGGAAGAAGCCCCAUAUUCUGUAGCCCAACCCACCACAGCACUGGAGAAAGAAGCAUCAUAUGUCUGGGAAGAGCAGUUCGUCUUCCUCAAGGGCUGCUCUAUUACAUCUUCAUGACACCAAGGAGAAGACAGCCUUCAUAGCCCAUACACUUUGUUUCUUUUUAUUUCGUAAAGGGACCAACUAUCUGCAAAGUUGUGGCAAUUGGAAGAUGCCAUGACAACGUUUCUCUCAGCCAUGCUGUGUGUAGCACUGAAUCAUCUGGUCCUCUGGAUGCCAUCAUUGGCAGGGGUCUUCUCUAAACCUAUACUCAGAGCAGUUCCAAGAAACGUGAUAACCACUGGAAACCAAGUUACAUUCUUCUGUCAAGGGCCCUUAGAGGCUAAGGAAUACCGUCUCUGCAAAGAAGGAAGUCAGGAUUGCUUGGUACCAACAACCCUUAUAGAAACUGAGAACUUGGCCAAAUUCUCUAUCUCAUCAAUUGAAUGGAACAAUGGAGGCCAAUAUAGGUGUGAAUAUAAGAGCCCCAAUGGUGCAUUAGAACACAGUGACUA